GGGCUUCACACAUGCUACAAUGGUCGGUACAACGCGUGUGCGACACUGUGAGGUGAAGCUAAUCGCUCUAAAGCCGGUCGUAGUUCGGAUUGGGGUCUGCAACUCGACCCCAUGAAGUCGGAGUCGCUAGUAAUCGCAGAUCAGCAACGCUGCGGUGAAUACGUUCCCGGGCCUUGUACACACCGCCCGUCACGUCAUGAAAGUUGGUAACACCCGAAGCCAGUGGCCUAAACCUGUUAGGGAGCUGUCGAAGGUGGGAUCGGCGAUUGGGACGAAGUCGUAACAAGGUAGCCGUACCGGAAGGUGCGGCUGGAUCACCUCCUUUCUAAGGAG
rnacentral:rRNA from 1 species